AGUGAACGCUGGCGAUAGGCCUAACACAUGCAAGUCGAACGGCAGCACAGUAAGAGCUUGCUCUUACGGGUGGCGAGUGGCGGACGGGUGAGGAAUACAUCGGAAUCUACUUUUUCGUGGGGGAUGACGUAGGGAAACUUACGCUAAUACCGCAUACGACCUACGGGUGAAAGCAGGGGAUCUUCGGACCUUGCGCGAUUGAAUGAGCCGAUGUCGGAUUAGCUAGUUGGCGGGGUAAAGGCCCACCAAGGCGACGAUCCGUAGCUGGUCUGAGAGGAUGAUCAGCCACACUGGAACUGAGACACGGUCCAGACUCCUACGGGAGGCAGCAGUGGGGAAUAUUGGACAAUGGGCGCAAGCCUGAUCCAGCCGUACCGCGUGGGUGAAGAAGGCCUUCGGGUUGUAAAGCCCUUUUGUUGGGAAAGAAAAGCAGCAGGUUAAUACCCCGCUGUUCUGACGGUACCCAAAGAAUAAGCACCGGCUAACUUCGUG
rnacentral:rRNA from 1 species